rnacentral:rRNA from 1 species
AUUGAACGCUGGCGGCAGGCCUAACACAUGCAAGUCGAGCGGCAGCACGGGAAGCUUGCUUCCUGGUGGCGAGCGGCGGACGGGUGAGUAAUGCAUAGGAAUCUGCCCGAUAGUGGGGGAUAACCUGGGGAAACCCAGGCUAAUACCGCAUACGUCCUACGGGAGAAAGCAGGGGCUCUUCGGACCUUGCGCUAUCGGAUGAGCCUAUGUCGGAUUAGCUGGUUGGUGAGGUAAUGGCUCACCAAGGCGACGAUCCGUAGCUGGUCUGAGAGGAUGAUCAGCCACAUCGGGACUGAGACACGGCCCGAACUCCUACGGGAGGCAGCAGUGGGGAAUAUUGGACAAUGGGCGCAAGCCUGAUCCAGCCAUGCCGCGUGUGUGAAGAAGGCCCUCGGGUUGUAAAGCACUUUCAGUGGGGAAGAAAGCCUUGGGGCUAAUACCCUCGAGGAAGGACAUCACCCACAGAAGAAGCACCGGCUAACUCCGUGCCAGCAGCCGCGGUAAUACGGAGGGUGCGAGCGUUAAUCGGAAUUACUGGGCGUAAAGCGCGCGUAGGUGGCUUGAUAAGCCGGUUGUGAAAGCCCCGGGCUCAACCUGGGAACGGCAUCCGGAACUGUCAGGCUAGAGUGCAGGAGAGGAAGGUAGAAUUCCCGGUGUAGCGGUGAAAUGCGUAGAGAUCGGGAGGAAUACCAGUGGCGAAGGCGGCCUUCUGGACUGACACUGACACUGAGGUGCGAAAGCGUGGGUAGCAAACAGGAUUAGAUACCCUGGUAGUCCACGCCGUAAACGAUGUCGACUAGCCGUUGGGAGCCUCGAGUUCUUAGUGGCGCAGUUAACGCGAUAAGUCGACCGCCUGGGGAGUACGGCCGCAAGGUUAAAACUCAAAUGAAUUGACGGGGGCCCGCACAAGCGGUGGAGCAUGUGGUUUAAUUCGAUGCAACGCGAAGAACCUUACCUACCCUUGACAUCGUGCGAACUUGGUAGAGAUACCUUGGUGCCUUCGGGAACGCACAGACAGGUGCUGCAUGGCUGUCGUCAGCUCGUGUUGUGAAAUGUUGGGUUAAGUCCCGUAACGAGCGCAACCCUUGUCCCUAUUUGCCAGCGAUUCGGUCGGGAACUCUAGGGAGACUGCCGGUGACAAACCGGAGGAAGGUGGGGACGACGUCAAGUCCUCAUGGCCCUUACGGGUAGGGCUACACACGUGCUACAAUGGUCGGUACAAAGGGUUGCAAAGCGGCGACGUGGAGCUAAUCCCAGAAAGCUGAUCUCAGUCCGGAUCGGAGUCUGCAACUCGACUCCGUGAAGUCGGAAUCGCUAGUAAUCGUGAAUCAGAAUGUCACGGUGAAUACGUUCCCGGGCCUUGUACACACCGCCCGUCACACCAUGGGAGUGGACUGCACCAGAAGUGGUUAGCCUAACUUCGGAGGGCGAUCACCACGGUGUGGUUCAUGACUGGGGUGAAGUCGUAACAAGGUAGCCGUAGGGGAACC